rnacentral:rRNA from 1 species
AACGUAGGUACCGAGCGUUAUCCGGAUUUACUGGGCGGUAAAGCGUGUUCAGGCGGCCUGGCAAGUCGGGCAUGAAAUCUCUCGGCUCAACCGAGAGAGGCUGUCCGAUACUGCUGGGCUUGAGGACGGUAGAGGGUGGUGGAAUUCCGCGUGUAGUGGUGAAAUGCGUAGAUAUGCGGAGGAACACCAGUGGCGAAGGCGGCCACCUGGACCGUCCCUGACGCUCAAACACGAAAGCUAGGGUAGCGAACGGGG